rnacentral:rRNA from 1 species
UACGUAGGGGGCAAGCGUUGUCCGGAAUCAUUGGGCGUAAAGCGCGUGUAGGCGGCUAGGUAAGUCUGCUCUGAAAGCCCGGGGCUCAACCCCGGGAGGCGGGUGGAUACUGUCUAGCUCGAGUCCGGAAGAGGAGUGUGGAAUUCCUGGUGUAGCGGUGAAAUGCGCAGAUAUCAGGAGGAACACCAAUGGCGAAGGCAGCACUCUGGGACGUGACUGGCGCUGAGACGCGAAAGCGUGGGGAGCAAACAGG